GGUGUCUAUACAUGCAAGUCGAGCGAAUGGAUUAGAGAGCUUGCUCUUAUGAAGUUAGCGGCGGACGGGUGAGUAACACGUGGGUAACCUGCCCAUAAGACUGGGAUAACUCCGGGAAACCGGGGCUAAUACCGGAUAACAUUUUGAACCGCAUGGUUCGAAAUUGAAAGGCGGCUUCGGCUGUCACUUAUGGAUGGACCCGCGUCGCAUUAGCUAGUUGGUGAGGUAACGGCUCACCAAGGCAACGAUGCGUAGCCGACCUGAGAGGGUGAUCGGCCACACUGGGACUGAGACACGGCCCAGACUCCUACGGGAGGCAGCAGUAGGGAAUCUUCCGCAAUGGACGAAAGUCUGACGGAGCAACGCCGCGUGAGUGAUGAAGGCUUUCGGGUCGUAAAACUCUGUUGUUAGGGAAGAACAAGUGCUAGUUGAAUAAGCUGGCACCUUGACGGUACCUAACCAGAAAGCCACGGCUAACUACGUGCCAGCAGCCGCGGUAAUACGUAGGUGGCAAGCGUUAUCCGGAAUUAUUGGGCGUAAAGCGCGCGCAGGUGGUUUCUUAAGUCUGAUGUGAAAGCCCACGGCUCAACCGUGGAGGGUCAUUGGAAACUGGGAGACUUGAGUGCAGAAGAGGAAAGUGGAAUUCCAUGUGUAGCGGUGAAAUGCGUAGAGAUAUGGAGGAACACCAGUGGCGAAGGCGACUUUCUGGUCUGUAACUGACACUGAGGCGCGAAAGCGUGGGGAGCAAACAGGUUAG
rnacentral:rRNA from 1 species